rnacentral:ncRNA from 1 species
UAUGGGUUGGGAGGAAACCGAACUUUGCCGUUAUUUUUUUAGUAAAAAAAAUAAAGUUUGAUUCUAGCUUUUUCAUUAGCUGUUUAUAUUAAUUAUAUGUUAGUUUUUUAAUUUACUUUUUUUCAGUAAUUCGAUUUUUUUUAAUAUUUAUUUAUUGUGAGAGAUUUAAUUAAAUUUGAUUAAUUUUGUGCCAGCAUUCGCGGUUAAACAAUUAAAUUUUGUUAAUGUUUUUGUAUUUAACUUGUUUGUAAUUUUUAAUUUAUAAUUAAUUUAUUUAGGUGGAAUUUAUAAGUUUAAUUUUGUUAUUUUUUUUAUUGUUAUAAGUUUUAUUAAUAAACUAGGAUUAGAUACCCUAUUAUUUUUAAUUUAAAUUUUUUUCAGAAUAUUAAUAGUUAUGUUCUAUCAAACUCAAAGAAUUUGGCGGUUAUUUAACUUUAUAGAGGAGCCUGUAAUUUAAUUGAUGAACCACAAUAUUUUCUACCAAGUUUAUAUUUGUAUAUCGCUAUACUUUGAAGUGUUUUAUUGAGAAUAAUUUUUUAUUAUUUUGUGAUUUUAUAUUAGGUCAAGGUGCAGUUUUUACUUGGUAAUUAUGGGCUACUUUAUUUUUAAUUUUAUUGGAAGUUUAAUUUUUUAAUAAAUUGCUUAAAAUAGGAUUUGUAAGUAAUUUAAGUUAAUUAACUUUUUUGAAUUUAGCUCUGGAUUAUGUACAUAUCGCCCGUCACUCCCAAUAAUAUGGGAUAAGUCGUAACAAAGUAGUUGUACCGGAAGGUGCAGCUAGAAUGAU